GGAUGUGAGGGCGAUCUGGCUGUGACAGCUGUCACCCCAUUGAUCGCCAGGGUUGAUUCGGCUGAUCUGGCUGGCUAGGUGGGUGUCCCCUUCCUCCCUCACCACUCCAUGUGCGUCCCUCCAUAAGCUGCGCACUCAGUUGAAGAGGAUGACCUUCCCUGAUAGAAGCAAGACCGUCCUUUGGUCAAGGGUAGCUGCGCUCCCCUGCCAGACCCUCCAAACAAAUCUCAAGGUCCAUUAAAAUGUAUAUAUAUAUAUAUCACUGAAAGGGUAAGUUUAGAGAAGGGGAGAAAUGGAAACUAUCCUGAACAUGUGGAUUCUAAGUUGCCUCUAGACCUCU
rnacentral:snRNA from 1 species